CUUAGGGUAUCUACUGUGCUUCAAUGCGCUGAAUAUCGUUUUAAAUAUUCUGUUUAUGGAUUAGGUAUGCUGUUGUUGUUGUUGUUGUUGUUGGUGACAGUUGUGUCAUUUGGCUCGCUUGGUCAAACAGUUAUGUGAUGACUAAUUUGUUAUGUAUGUGGGCAUGAGUCUGUCGGCAUAUGUGUGUGUGUGUGUGUGUAUGUGUGUGUAGAGAGUGAGGAAGAUAGAGCAACGAUGGAAGCUAGGGAAAUCGUGUGUUGUAUCAAGUGUAGAGGCGACAAAUUAAGUGGAAGCUGCUGACUGAUUGACGGCUUUUAUGUGGUUAAGAUCUCACACUGAACCGUAGCCCCACUCAAUCGAAAGAAAAUGAAAGUAUAUCAAUAGUUAGAGAGGGAUAAAGAGGAGCGGCCAUGGGUACAUAGAAAGAGAGGGAAGAUACAUAUGUAUAUGUUUUGUUAUCUUUAUAUAAUAGCUAAACCACUAGCCAGAUUCAGUUGAAGCUGGUUAAAUAAUUCAAGCGAACAAUUGGAUAACAAAAUGGGUAAAUUGAUAGCCGUGUGGGAGGCCAAAGAGUGAGAUGGGGAAAGCAAGAAAAAAAGGAAGGGGAGAGAGCAAUAGAGAGAGAGAGAGAGAUAGAGAGAGAGAGAGAGAGAGAGAGAAAGAGGAAUAGAGGUCUUUUAUUCGGAACUACAAUUGCAAACGUCUCGCUGAUCUCUUGAUUCGACUUAAUUAAUUGUCGUCGUAUUUGCAUGUAUUAUAAUAUGUGAGUGGAAAGUUACGAAGCUAACGAAAUUGGAACUGGUUCUCCAUUGAAAGGAAUGAAUAUUGUGUAAAAUUAAUUCAAUUAAAUUG